rnacentral:rRNA from 2 species
ACGAAACUUGCCCCGAGAUGAGUUCUCCCUGAGACUUUAGGUCUCCUGAAGGAACGUUGAAGACGACGACGUUGAUAGGCCGGGUGUGUAAGCGCAGCGAUGCGUUGAGCUAACCGGUACUAAUGAACCGUGAGGCUUAACCUU